UUUUUUUUUUUUUUUUUUUUUUUUUUAAUCAGUGAACAAAAAAGUGAAUCAUGAAAACCGCUUCAAACUCUUCAUUUGUUCUUAUUUUCUGUCAUUCCAUCAAAAUGCUUGUUCAUAAUUUUAUGCAGCCAUAUAUUAUUUUGGAAGAAGUAAAAAAAAAAAAAAUCUUCACAACACUCCCUUCACCUUUUUAUUCUAUUACCCCAAUCUGUUAUUACUGACUGCUUCCUUCCAUUCUCGUUAAUCACAUAAAUACCCUCACAUAUGUAUGGCACUUAAGAAACUGAGGUACUCUUGUGUGUGCCAUAUUAUUGAGAAUAUGAACUUAUUACAUGCCUUCUCAAAUACUAUAAACAUGCAUGGCAGAUUCACUUUGGUCAGUCUACUAAUUGCUUAGUCUACAUCAUCUUGUAUGUGCUCCAAACUUUCAUAUGUUAAAACUGAACAGUGUUAUAGUAUACGGAAUUUUGGCCUUUCACACCAGCAGUUGAGUUCUUAUUAAUGUAAUUGAUGCCCCUUCCAGUGGGCACUAUAGAAUUAUUAGGAAAGUUAUGGAUCUUGAUUCAUAGCUUAUAUGUGCAUACACAGUAAAAUUAGAAUUGAUUUUUUAUAAAUACUAUGACCUCUCAGCAAUAAAUUAGUCCUGGGACCAUUAAAAUUGUCUAAUUAGAAGCAGCAGGAUUUAAUUGUAAAAAUAAAUUUAAAAUAUUUGUCUUGGCCAUAUGUGUUUAUAUGUAAAACCUUGUUAUCUAGAAUACACUUCCUAUACUUCUGUAAGCUUUUUAAUAACUAUGAAAGCCUGUAAUUCUUGUGAACAGAGCGUAUUAUAAGUAUGCUAUCUCAAACACACAGACGCAGCUUGAAAAUAUACUUCAGCAGCACUGCAUUUUUUUGCAUGUGCUUUUGAAGCAGCAAAUUCUCAAUCUCCCAGCAGGAGACUGUUUAACUGCACUGCUUGUCAAUCUAAGCCAGUUUUCUUAGACAAGGAAAGAAUGCUUUCUCUUUAGCUAACGUGUGCAAUGUGACACCAGUGUCUUGUGUUUGGCAUUUUCCAUGGACACCAAAUGGCAGGAUGCUCCUCAAUGUUCUAAUCGGCUUUCUUGUCAGCCCUUCAGCUUCUUUUAUCCUCUUCCAAGUUCUUUUCUCUAGAGUCUGAAGCAGACCUACAGGUCAGGUGGGACUUUAGUGUGACAGCUGGGCAUUCUUCCUAGGACAGACCCAGCAUGGAUAAUAUUAUUUUCCAAUCACAUCUCUGUCACUCAACCCUUUCU
rnacentral:lncRNA from 1 species